GGGGUAAAAUUAAUAUUAAGAGGAGUAAUAAAAGAAUUUUUAAAUGUUGAAAAUUAUUAUUUUAAUGGGGGUUAAAGUAGUUUUAUUGAAAAAAUUUAAAAAUUUAUAGUUAAUUAGUAUUGUGAAAGAAUUUUGAAAUAUUAUUUAAAAAUUAAAUUUGAGGGAAAGUAAUUUUUAUUUAGUGUAUCUUGUGUAUCAGAGUUUAUUAAUAAAUUAUUUUAUUUUAAAUGUUCUCGAAUUUAAAAGAGAUAAUUAAUUAUUAAAGUUAUUGUAGCAAAAAUAUUUUUAAUAGUUAAUUAGAGAUGAAAUGUUAAUCGUUUUUAAAUAUAUCUAGUUUUUUUAGAAAAAAAUUUAAUUUUAAAUUUAAAAUUAAUAAAUUAAAUAAUUAGUUAUUUGAUUUAAAUUUAAAUUUAAUAUUUUAAGGGAUAAGCUUUAAAUUAAAUUAAUAUAAUUAAUUAAAUGUAUUUUAUUGAAAAUAAUAUAAUUUAUAUUAUUAAUAAAUUUUAAUUUGUUAUAAAUAAUUUCAAUAAAAAUAAAAUUUAAUUUAAUUUAUAAUUUAUAUAAAAAAUUAAAUUUAAAUAUAAAAAAUUUAGUUAUAAUGAUAAAAUUAGUAUAUAAAAAAUUUUAUAUUAUAAAUUUUAUUUAAAUUGUUUUAAAGGAAUUCGGCAAAAUUUUAUAUUCACUUGUUUAUCAAAAACAUGUCUUUUAGAUAAUAAUUUAAAGUCUAAUCUGCCCACUGAUAAUUUAUUAAAGGGCUGCAGUAAUUUGACUGUACAAAGGUAGCAUAAUCAUUAGUCAUUUAAUUGAUGACUUGUAUGAAAGAUUGGAUGAAAUAUAUACUGUCUUUAAUAUAUUUUAUAGAAAUUAAUUUUUUAAUAAAAAAGUUAAAAUGAAUAAAAAAGACGAGAAGACCCUAUAGAGUUUUAUUUUUCAAUAAAUAAAAAUUAUUUUUAAAUUUAAAAUUUAUAUUUAUUUAAAAAUUUUGUUGGGGUGAUAGAAAAAUUAAAUAAACUUUUUAAUAAGUGAAACAUAAAUAAGUGAUUUAUUGAUCCAUUUUUAGUGAUUAAAAGAAAAAAUUACCUUAGGGAUAACAGCGUAAUUUUUUUUUUUAGUUCGAAUAAAAAAAAGAGUUUGCGACCUCGAUGUUGGAUUAAGAUAAAAUUUAAAUGUAGAAGUUUAAAGUUUUGAUCUGUUCGAUCAUUAAAAUCUUACAUGAUCUGAGUUCAAACCGGUGUGAGCCAGGUUGGUUUCUAUCUUUUUAAAUUAGAAAUAUUUUAGUACGAAAGGAUUGAAUAUUUAAAUUAAAUUUAUUUAAUGAAUAUUAAUAAUUAUAUUUUAAAAAUGAAAUUUAUUUGGAUUAUAUAUA
rnacentral:rRNA from 1 species